AAUGGAUAUCUAACGAACAGAACAAAAUGGCGCGCAAGAGAGUGGAGAAGAGGAUUAAUUGAAAGCUUUGUUCUUCUCUCAUCCACUGUUUUCUCUACAAAAAUCAUGUCUUCCUUCUUCACCCCUUUCAUUUCCUCUUCCCUCAUUCUUCAACCCCUCAAAAUUUCUAAACUUACGAUCUUCUCCUCGAAACCCUACAGCAACAGGAAUUUCACUCCGGUUCUAGCAUCCGAUUCUCAACCUAAACCUAAUUCUAGACUCAAUUCCAGAAAACCCACCAUGGAUGGCAACAAACCCACCUCCAAAUUUCGAAGAAAAUCAUCGUACGGUACCUCUAGGAGGUCGAUUCUGAAGAAAACUUUCAAUCAGGAGCAAGUUACUUUCACUUCUGCUCUCUCCGAUGACCCCCUUAUAGCCAUUAUUGGCGGCGGCAUGGCGGGAAUCAUGUGUGCUCUGAGUUUGGAGAAAAGGGGUGUUCGUUCCACCGUCUUUGACACGGGUAUACAUGGGUUGGGAGGAAGAAUGGGGACUAGAAGUCUUGGACCUGAACCCCUAAUGUUUGAUCAUGCGGCUCAAUUCUUUACAGUGACGGAUAACCAGUUUGCUCAGUUGGUCGAUGGUUGGUUGGCUGCAGGUCUAGUUAAAGAGUGGAAGGGGACUGUUGGAGAGCUUGAAUUGGGUGGUCGAUUUGUUCCAAUGUCUUCCUGUCCAAGGUAUAUUGGUACAAAUGGUAUGCGGCCACUUGCUGACUCAUUGCUAUCUCAGACUUCUCUGAUUAAUGUGAUCCGCCCUUGCUGGAUAAGUAAGCUGGAGCCAUUUAAUGGAAUGUGGCACUUAAGUGAGAACGGGAAACCUUGUGGGCAUUUUGAUGCUAUUGUAAUCGCACACAAUGGUAAAUGUGCUAAUCGGCUUCUUUCAACAUCUGGCUUACCUCUGAUUGCUAGACAAAUGAAGAGGUUAGAAUUGAGUUCUAUAUGGGCCCUCCUUGCUGCAUUUGAGGACCCUCUUCCUUUCCCAGAUACUGCACAAACAUUUCCAUUUGAAGGAGCUUUUGUAAAAGGGGUUGAUUCCAUCUCAUGGAUGGCAAACAAUAACAAAAAAAUUCUAAACUUUCAGAAAGAUGGACCCCACUGUUGGACCUUUCUCAGUACUGCUGCAUAUGGGAAACAGAACAAGGUUCCACAGGAGAAUAUCCCAACUUCUACUGCUGAGAAAGUGAAGAAAAAUAUGCUAGAGGGUGUCGAAGCUGCCCUGGGAUUGUCCAAAGGGUCACUGCCAAAACCCUUUUACACCCGAGUUCAGCUAUGGGGUGCAGCACUGCCUACAAAUUCACCAGGUAUUCCAUGCAUCUUUGAUCCUCAUGGAAGAGCUGGUAUCUGUGGUGAUUGGCUACUAGGCUCAAAUAUAGAAUCAGCAGCCCUAAGUGGGAUAGCUCUUGGAAAUCAUAUUGCAGAUUACUUCAAAAGUGGCAGCGAACAUUCCGAAGAAUUUGCAGUUGGUUUACAUAAGGAGUUUCAGCCCAUUCAAGGACAUGAUAUUGGGCAAUUUCCUGGUUUGGGAACUGAAAAGCAGGCAGAAAGUACACUUGCAUUCCAGCUUGCUACUUGAAUUUGUCUUUGCUAGAUGCAUGAAGCAGAAAUUAUAAUUCAGGAAGAUUGGGAUGAACAUGUCAUUUCUAUCAAUAUUUUGGAGAAACUCGAAAUAGUAAGACUCACAGAGCAGAGGUGACUUGACUACUUUGAUCAAACCUGUAGCAAGGACUCAUCUCUGAUUUGUCACAGACAAAUCAACAAGUUCGAACUCACGGGGUGUGUGUUUGAAGAUUCAAGCUCAUGAAAAUGGAAAUGGAAUUCUUCUUUAGGGAAUAACCACAAAAAGAUGUGUGUGUGUGUUACUAUCUACAUCAUGGUUGCCUAAAGUUGUUAGACAUUGGAAUGAAUAUACACUUCUUCUUGUAACACUAUUAUUCUUCUGUGUAAUUUUUGAAUUUAAAUCAAAAGAAUAAAAAUAAUACUCUUAAAUUCUAA